rnacentral:rRNA from 1 species
AGCUACAGGCUUAACACAUGCAAGUCGAGGGACCGGUGCACGGGUGAGUAACACGUAUCCAACCUGCCGAUAACUCGGGGAUAGCCUUUCGAAAGAAAGAUUAAUAUCCGAUAGUUAUCGAUGGGGAUGCGUUCCAUUAGUUUGUUGGCGGGGUAACGGCCCACCAAGACUACGAUGGAUAGGGGUUCUGAGAGGAAGGUCCCCCACAUUGGAACUGAGACACGGUCCAAACUCCUACGGGAGGCAGCAGUGAGGAAUAUUGGUCAACGGACGAGAGUCUGAACCAGCCAAGUAGCGUGAAGGAUGACUGCCUAUGGGUUGUAAACUUCUUUUAUAUGGGAAUACGUACCAUAUGAAUAAGGAUCGGCUAACUCCGUGCCAGCAGCCGCGGUAAUACGGAGGAUCCGAGCGUUAUCCGGAUUUAUUGGGUUUAAAGGGAGCGUAGGUGGAUUGUUAAGUCAGUUGUGAAAGUUUGCGGCUCAACCGUAAAAUUGCAGUUGAAACUGGCAGUCUUGAGUACAGUAGAGGUGGACGGAAUUCGUGGUGUAGCGGUGAAAUGCUUAGAUAUCACGAGGAACUCCGUUUGCGA